UACAGAGGGUGCAAGCGUUAAUCGGAAUUACUGGGCGUAAAGCGUGCGUAGACGGUCAUGUAAGUCGGGUGUGAAAGCCCCGGGCUCAACCUGGGAAUUGCAUUCGAGACUGCAUGGCUAGGAUGCGGAAGAGGGAAGCGGAAUUUCCGGUGUAGCGGUGAAAUGCGUAGAUAUCGGAAGGAACACCAGUGGCGAAAAGCGGCUUCCUGGUCCAGCAUCGACGUCAGGCACGAAAGCGUGGGGAGCAAACAGG
rnacentral:rRNA from 1 species